UUAUAGCCCCGGUAGUAGCGGCGUCCUGUUGUGGCGGGUUUCGCCACAACAGAUAGAGCAAAUAACGGGACAAAUC
rnacentral:sRNA from 10 species